GAUGAACGCUGGCGGCGUGCUUAACACAUGCAAGUCGAACGGUGAAGCAGAGCUUGCUCUGUGGAUCAGUGGCGAACGGGUGAGUAACACGUGAGAAACCUGCCCCUGACUCUGGGAUAAGCGCUGGAAACGGCGUCUAAUACUGGAUAUGAGCUGCGACGGCAUGGUCAGCAGUUGGAAAGAUUUUUCGGUCUGGGAUGGGCUCACGGCCUAUCAGCUUGUUGGUGAGGUAAUGGCUCACCAAGGCGUCGACGGGUAGCCGGCCUGAGAGGGUGAACGGCCACACUGGGACUGAGACACGGCCCAGACUCCUACGGGAGGCAGCAGUGGGGAAUAUUGCACAAUGGGCGAAAGCCUGAUGCAGCAACGCCGCGUGAGGGAUGACGGCCUUCGGGUUGUAAACCUCUUUUAGCAGGGAAGAAGCGAAAGUGACGGUACCUGCAGAAAAAGCGCCGGCUAACUACGUG
rnacentral:rRNA from 1 species